rnacentral:rRNA from 1 species
AACGAACGCUGGCGGCAUGCCUAACACAUGCAAGUCGAACGAGACCUUCGGGUCUAGUGGCGCACGGGUGCGUAACGCGUGGGAACCUGCCCUUAGGUUCGGAAUAACUCAGAGAAAUUUGAGCUAAUACCGGAUAAUGUCUUCGGACCAAAGAUUUAUCGCCUUUGGAUGGGCCCGCGUAGGAUUAGCUUGUUGGUGGGGUAAUGGCCUACCAAGGCGACGAUCCUUAGCUGGUCUGAGAGGAUGAUCAGCCACACUGGGACUGAGACACGGCCCAGAAUCCUACGGGAGGCAGCAGUGGGGAAUAUUGGACAAUGGGCGAAAGCCUGAUCCAGCAAUGCCGCGUGAGUGAUGAAGGCCUUAGGGUUGUAAAGCUCUUUUACCAGGGAUGAUAAUGACAGUACCUGGAGAAUAAGCUCCGGCUAACUCCGUG